GCCUGGAUAGCUCAGUUGGUUAGACUAGAGCAUGGUGCUGAUAACGCCAAGGUUGCAAGUUCAAUCCCCGUAUGGGACA
rnacentral:tRNA from 1 species